rnacentral:rRNA from 1 species
CAAGUCGAGGGGUAGCAGGAUCUAGCAAUAGAUUGCUGACGACCGGCGCACGGGUGAGUAACACGUAUCCAACCUUCCGUUUACUCGGGGAUAGCCUUUCGAAAGAAAGAUUAAUACCCGAUAGUAUGCUUUUCCCGCAUGGGAGAAUCAUUAAAGUUUUUCGGUAAUCGAUGGGGAUGCGUUCCAUUAGGCAGUUGGUGAGGUAACGGCUCACCAAACCUUCGAUGGAUAGGGGUUCUGAGAGGAAGGUCCCCCACAUUGGAACUGAGACACGGUCCAAACUCCUACGGGAGGCAGCAGUGAGGAAUAUUGGUCAAUGGACGAGAGUCUGAACCAGCCAAGUAGCGGUAGGAAGGAUGACUGCCCUAUGGGUUAGUAAACUUCUUUUAUAUGGGAAUAAAGGAGCCUACGUGUAGGUUUUUGUAUGUACCAUACGAAUAAGGAUCGGCUAACUCCGUGCCAGCAGCCGC